AGGUUGACCUCGGAUCAGGUAGGGAUACCCGCUGAACUUAAGCAUAUCAAUAAGCGGAGGACMM
rnacentral:rRNA from 1 species